GCGGGAGACGGCCCAGACGGGUGUUGGGUUGGGCCGACGACGGAGGGGGUUCAAAUCCCCUUUCCCGCUCCA
rnacentral:tRNA from 1 species